CCCCUCUCAGGGUCACAUCUGGAGAGUUUCCAGUGCUCUACCGGUCUCGGCUGUGAGAGGGAGAGUCAAGCAGAGGCAUACCCAUUCCAUUCCUAGCUUGGGCAGUGACUAGUGAGUGUAAGGUAAUCUGCUACAAGU